rnacentral:rRNA from 1 species
AUUGAACGCUGGCGGCAGGCUUAACACAUGCAAGUCGAACGAGUGGCGGACGGGUGAGUAAUGCUUGGGAAUCUCGCUUAUGGAGGGGGAUAACUACGGGAAACUGUAGCUAUUACCGCUUACCAUAGGGGGAGCCCAAGUGGGAGUGGGGAGUUGGUGGUGUAAAGGCGCCACAGGCCGCCGAUCUCUAGCUGGUCUGAGAGGAUGACCAGCCCCACGGGGACUGGGGCACGGCCCAGCCUCCUACGGGAGGAAGCAGUGGGGAAUAUUGGGCUAUGGGGGCAACGUGACGGAGCCAUGCCGCGUGAAUGAGGAAGGCCUUCGGGUUGUAAAGUUCUUUCGGUAGCGAGGCGUUAACUACAGAAGAAGCACCGGCUAACUCCGUGCCAGCCGCCGCGGUAAUUC